rnacentral:rRNA from 1 species
AGAGUUUGAUCAUGGCUCAGAAUCAACGCUGGCGGCGCGCCUAACACAUGCAAGUCGAACGAGAAAGGGGAGCAAUCCCUGAGUACAGUGGCGUACGGGUGAGUAACACGUGGGUAAUCUGCCCUUUGGUGGGGAAUAACCCUGGGAAACCGGGGCUAAUACCGCAUAAGUCCGAGAGGAGAAAGCAGCAAUGCGCCGAAGGAGGAGCCCGCGGCCGAUUAGCUAGUUGGUGAGGUAAAAGCCCACCAAGGCAAAGAUCGGUAGCCGGCCUGAGAGGGCACACGGCCACACUGGCACUGAAACACGGGCCAGACUCCUACGGGAGGCAGCAGUGGGGAAUCUUGCACAAUGGGGGAAACCCUGAUGCAGCGACGCCGCGUGAGCGAUGAAGCCCUUCGGGGUGUAAAGCUCUUUCGGCAGGGAAGAUGAUGACGGUACCUGCAGAAGCAGCUGCGGCUAACUACGUGCCAGCAGCCGCGGUAAUACGUAGGCAGCAAGCGUUGUUCGGAGUUACUGGGCGUAAAGGGUGUGUAGGCGGUUUGGUAAGUCUGGUGUGAAAUCUCCCGGCUCAACUGGGAGGGUGCGCCGGAAACUGCCGGACUCGAGUGCGGGAGAGGAGAGUGGAAUUCCUGGUGUAGCGGUGAAAUGCGUAGAUAUCAGGAGGAACACCGGUGGUGUAGACGGCUCUCUGGACCGUAACUGACGCUGAAACACGAAAGCGUGGGUAGCAAACAGGAUUAGAUACCCUGGUAGUCCACGCCCUAAACGAUGCAUAUUUGGUGUGGGUCAUUCAGUUGAUCCGUGCCGGAGCUAACGCGUUAAAUAUGCCGCCUGGGGAGUACAGUCGCAAGGCUGAAACUCAAAGGAAUUGACGGGGGCCCGCACAAGCGGUGGAGCAUGUGGUUCAAUUCGACGCAACGCGAAGAACCUUACCUGGGCUCGAACGGCUGGUUAACGGCGGUGGAAACAUCGCUACCCCGCAAGGGGGUCCAGUCGAGGUGCUGCAUG